GUGAGUGCACAUGCUCACCAAGUUUGUGCCAAGUCAUGGAUUGUGAUGUUGUGUAGGUAAUGACAUUUGAAAGGCAUACUCAUAAUGUGGGUUGAUAAAUGCUGCGUUGGUUUUUCUGUAAAACUCUGGAACUGGUGAGGCAAUUAUGUAUGAAAUUCUGCUAUCUGAAGAGGAAUGUCCAUUGGACAUUGCUGUAGAAAGCAAACGCAAAGUCCGGUUUGUACUUAAAGUCCCUCAGGAUCAGGAAAUGGCCAAUCAACAUGGGGCUCUGCCGGCCCUUACAGACUCUGCCAGACACAAGAUGCUGAGCAAGUUUUUUGGAGUCAGCAGCAGCGAACUUAGUCUUCCCUUCUCGCAGUCUGUACCUUCAUCACAUGAUAACCUAUCUAAUGGCUUUGACUCCCCACGUUCAGACACAUAUUCCAACUGUGAUGCCAUCAGUGUGAGCAGUAGUAACAGCAGUAGUAGCAGCUUUUCAAAUGGCCAACGCAAAUCCAGAGGGCAAAAACCUGUACUUGGUUCAAAUGGGGUUACAGGAUUAUUAUUGAAACCUCAGACUCCUCGCUUCAAGCGAAAGGCACCAACUCCCGGUCAAGAGCAUAGAAAUAUACGACCCCCUAACAGGGCACAGAAAAAGAGACACAGACCAAAAUCACUAACUUUGAUGCUGGAAAGAAGUCUGAGUUUAAAGAGGAGACAAAAUGAUGGUGGUAGAAAGCAGAAUGGGAAGGAACUGUCAACAGAGGAAUCAGCCCCAGGAGUCCUCAAAGUGUUUGGAGACUCCUUGUGCCCUGGAUCAAAUUAUAAGAGUAUACUUGCUUCUGCAAGGUCAUCAGCUGUUGAGUUAGUGAAGGAAAUUUUGACAAGGUAUUCUCUACCCAGAAGUGCACAUACCGAAUAUGUUCUGUGUGAUGUCAUCGGAAAGUUUGUAAGUAGGAAGCAAAAUGGACUGAAGAAGACAGAACAGGGUGAUUCACAGGAAAGAUGGAUUGAGGAAUGUGUAAGAGCACUUGCAGACAAUGAGAAACCUUUGAUGAUCCAGUCAUUCUGGAAGCCUGGUGAUGGUCUUGUAAGGCGAUUUGAGAUCAGACGACGACAAGAUCUCCCACCUGACGAGAUAGACAGCAUCACAUCUGGUAUUAACAAGAAUGCCAGAAGACUUCAGAUGUCACGGUCACAUGCUGUUGCUCCAAAUGAGACCAGUAUGGACAGGUUGGAUACUGGUGUAGAUAUGGAAAAUGGAUUCUUCAAUGGAGACCUUGCUUCCCAUUCUAGUCCACGAUCAAGCAUCAUCCACUCUCAGGAUCCAAACUUGAGCCUGGAACGCGAAGAAACAGAGAGCAGUGAUGAGCCAAUCCUUUGCAAUAUGAGAAUGCCCUCAGAACUGCCCUAUUUCCUAACACUCCACGGUUAUGACAAUCAUGAUGUCUUGCUUCACAUGCUUACCAAGGAAGUGAUGCUUGUGGGCAAUAGACAAAUUGAACCUGAGGAGGAUGAUAGUGAUGAAUUGUAUGCAGAGGGUGUUGAUAUCUCUCUAGAGGCUCCUGAUAUCUUGCCACAGCACUGUUGGAUCUUCCGCCAGCAGAGGCAUCUUCAGGAACAGGAAGACUCUAGAGAAGAAGAGAGUGAAUUUGUUGUAAGACUAGAGACCUUACCCGAUGCGCACGUCAUCAUCAAUGGUAUCCCUGUUUCUGGAAGUGCCACUCUUAACCCAGGAGACUUUGUGUGCUUUGGUCAUCACUACGCAGUUAUGUACAAGGACCCUGCAGCCUGUACUUCUCCAGCAAUGUUCCCCUGGAGUAUCCCACCCAGCAUGACUCAGAGGCGCUGGGUUGCUCCCAACCAGUAUCUUGCCCAGAAAGCCAAUGAAUAUACCAACGACAAGCAGAGAAUUAAAGUUAUGUACAGACCUUAUGACGAGGACCAGAUUUUCAACUGGAUUGGGCAACACCUGGAGAAGGCAGACACCAAGUGUCCUCUUGGAAUGUCUUACCUCUUAGCAUCUAUGGUUGAAUAUGCCGCCUAUCACUUUCAUCAGACCAAUGCAAAAUCACUCAUUAUCAAAUCUGCAACUCUCAUCCAAGGCAUCGCGUGGGUAAGUAAUAGUGUAAAGAUUUUGAGACAUAUCAAUGUAUUUCAUUUGUUAUUUUGUGUUUAAAAAAAAUCCUUUUCGUUGUGCCUGGAUCUUCCAUGUCUACAUGCAAAUCAAAACAAAAACAACAACUGAUAAAUGAAAUACAGUGCUUCCCAGAAAAAAGGAAACAGGAAUUCAGUGUUAUUUUCUGCCAUCAUAAUUAUUAAUUUGCUUCGUGAGAUGUACACUGUAUAUCAAUAAAAAGAUAUGCUUCCCCUCUUUCAUUUAAAGCCCAUCUCAAUGUUUAUAAUGCAUGCAUGACUGAGUUAGGACAAUGGAAAUUAUUGCUAGCAAAUUUCCAUUUGCACAAGCAAAGUACGAUUUUAAAUGAGUUUUCCUGGCUAUUUGGAAAACAAAGUUCAGAACUUACAUAUGAAUUUUUGUCUCACUUGCAUAGCAGAGUGACGGCAUCAGCAUCAAAUCUUAAAUAAAGGUUAAGUUUUUGAAAUGACAGCAUAACUUAGAAAGUAUAAGUUUCAGGUCACAUGACUAAGGUCAAAGGUCAUUUAGGGUCAAUGAACUUAGACCAUGUCGGGGGUAUUUGUUGAAUUACCAUCAUAACUUUGAAAGUUUAUGGAUCUGAUUCAUAUAAGUUGGACAUAAGAGUAAUCAAAUAUCACUGAACAUCCUGUGCGAGUUUCAGGUCACAUGACCAAGGUUUGGUCAUUUAAGGUCAAUGAACUUUUAUCAUGUUGGGGGUAUUUGAAUUACCAUCAUAACUUCGAAAGUUUAUGGAUCUGAUUCAUAAAAUUUUGACCUAAGAGUAAUCAAGUAUAAAUGAACAUCCUUUGCGGGUUUUAGGUCCCAUGACGAAGGUCAAUGAAUUUGACCAUGUUGGGGGUAUUUGAAUUACCAUCAUAACUCUAAAAGUGUAUUGUUCUAUAGUUCAUAAAACUUGGACAUAAGAGUAAUCAAGUAUCAUUGAACACCCUGUGCGGGUUUUAGGUCACAUGACCAAGGUCAAAGGUCAUUUAAGGUCAAUGAACUUUGGCCAAGUUGGGUUUUUUGUUGAUUAUCAUCAUAACUUUCGUAAGUCUAUGGAUCUGUUUCAUAAAACGUGGACAUAGGAGUAAUCAAAUAUCACUGAACAUCUCAUGCGAGUCAAAGGUCAUUUAAGGUCAAUGAACCUUGACUAUGUUGGAGGUAAUUAUUGAAUUGCUGUCAUAACUUUCAAAGUUUAUGGAUAUAGUUUAUGAAAUGUGACAUAGGGGUAAUCAAGUAUCACUGACAAGUCUUAGGUCACAUGAUCAAGGUCAAAUUUCAUUUAGGGUCAAUGAACGUAGUAUUGUAUUAUUAUAUGAAUGGUGUUUUUUGUGAAUAAUUAUUAAUGCAGGUGAGACUGCUAGAGGCGCUCCACUUGUUCAUCUUUCAUAUGAAACCUUGUCGUAAAAUUGAUUGAUGCAUGGUCGAGAAAGCAUGAAAACAUGCUUGAUUCCUAUCUAUUUGAUGGAACGUUGAAAAACAAGCAUUUCCAACAAAGAGCUACCAGUGAUGUGCACGAUUAAUAUGAUAUUGUGGUUGGCUUGAAUAUUAUAUUUGAAUUCUGUCUGUAAAACUUGUAAAAAUAUUGCUUGAUAGGAUUACAUGUAGACGAGGCAGGGGCAGCAGAAUUUUGGAUGGGAGGGGAUGAUCCACUGAGAAAAACAAUCCGUCGAAUAGGUAAAAAUUAAGCAUGUUUUUAUGCUACUUUUUCUCGACCAUGCGGCAUUCACAUUUUACACUUUGGGUCUCACAAGGAGGAAAAAUUGAUAUUCAAGUUAUGAAAUUUGUUUUCGAAAAGAUAGCAGUAAAGCCAGGAAAACCAACUCAAAAUCGUAAUUUGCUUUUGCAAAUGAAAAUUUGGUAGUACCAUUUUCCUUUGUUCUAACUCAGUCAUGCGUGCAUUACUAACAUUGAGAUGGAUCUCAAAUGAAAGAAGAGAAGCAUAUCCAUUCAUAUACAUUUCAUGAAGAAGAUUUAUGAUUAUACAGUCCGACCUCUCUUAUCCGGACACGUUGGGACCAGCACCAAUCCGGAUAAGGGAUUUAUCCGGAUCUCGGAGACCCAAUAUUAAAUACACGCAGCUGCUGCCUCAGCUCCCCAACGGCGGUAGCUACACGUUAUAUAUUGUAGUGGGCGCGCGUACAGACAGUGCACUCGGGAUUCGGCGUCACACCAUAAUGCAUCAAUGCCUCGCUCGGGCACGAAUUGCUCUUCUUGCGCUGGUGGAGAUGGGGUUUCUUGAAUCUCUAGAUCAAUAGCGAAGAUCAGGCUAAAAUCUCAAGAUUGAGAAAACUCAGGCUGGUGCAGCACCAACUUGUUUGAUCAAUUUCACUCAUGGAAAAUAAUUGUCUAGUUCAACGAAUAUCAAUUCCAAAAGAUAUUUUGUCUGACUUUUUAAAUAAUAUUUUCUUUAAAAAACGAGUUUGCUAUUGACUUCCAGUUGUUUUUCCGAUUAGACCCGGCUUUGUUGCAUUUGCAUCUACAC